AUUGAACGCUGGCGGCAUGCUUUACACAUGCAAGUCGAACGGCAGCGCGGGCUUCGGCCUGGCGGCGAGUGGCGAACGGGUGAGUAAUACAUCGGAACGUGCCCAGUAGUGGGGGAUAGCUCGGCGAAAGCCGGAUUAAUACCGCAUACGACCUGAGGGUGAAAGCGGGGGAUCUUCGGACCUCGCGCUAUUGGAGCGGCCGAUGGCAGAUUAGCUAGUUGGUGGGGUAAAGGCCUACCAAGGCGACGAUCUGUAGCUGGUCUGAGAGGACGACCAGCCACACUGGGACUGAGACACGGCCCAGACUCCUACGGGAGGCAGCAGUGGGGAAUUUUGGACAAAGGGCGAAAGCCUGAUCCAGCAAUGCCGCGUGUGUGAUGAAGGCCUUCGGGUUGUAAAGCACUUUUGGCGGGAACGAAAAGGACUGUGCUAAUACCACGGUUCGAUGACGGUACCCGCAGAAUAAGCACCGGCUAACUACGUG
rnacentral:rRNA from 1 species